CUCCAGACUCCUACGGGAGGCAGCAGUGAGGAAUAUUGGUCAAUGGGCGAGAGCCUGAACCAGCCAAGUCGCGUGAGGGAAGACGGUCCUAUGGAUUGUAAACCUCUUUUGUCGGGGAGCAAAAAGGCCUCGUGAGGCCACAAGUGAGAGUACCCGAAGAAAAAGCAUCGGCUAACUCCGUGCCAGCAGCCGCGGUAAUACGGAGGAUGCGAGCGUUAUCCGGAUUUAUUGGGUUUAAAGGGUGCGUAGGCGGAGUGGAAAGUCAGGGGUAAAAUUGAGGGGCUCAACCUCUGCGAGCCGUUGAAACUGGUUUUCUUGAGUGAGCGAGAAGUAUGCGGAAUGCGUGGUGUGGCGGUGAAAUGCAUAGAUAUCACGCAGAACUCCGAUUGCGAAGGCAGCAUACCGGCGCUCAACCGACGCUCAUGCACGAAAGUGUGGGUAUCGAACAGGAUUAGAUACCCGCGUAUC
rnacentral:rRNA from 1 species